GCUAAAUGUUGCCUGCGAAGUGGGGACACCACAAAAAGUUUAAAUUCAGAUUUUUUUUUUUUCCUUUUUAAGGCUGAGUAAGAUUCCAUUAUAUCUAUAUGCCACAUUUUGUUUAUCUAUUCAUCCAUGGAGGGGCUCUUGCACUGUUUCCGCCUUUUUCGCUAUUGUUCAUAAUGCUGCUAUGAACGUGGGUGUGUGAACAUCUGUUCCGGUCCUGACUUUCUGUUCUUUUGGGUCUCCACCCGGAAGUGGCGUCGCUGGAACGUGAUCCAAAUUCUGACUUCUCUGUACCACCCACCUGACUGCUUCGCCUCUGAUCCUAUCCAACAUGUUAACCACAUUCUUGCAAAUAUCCUCCGCCGGGGCCAUGCCCACUGGUCAGAGCCCCCUCCCUGAACCUCACCGCUCCAUGCUUGAGCCGCACCGCCCCCCCCCCCACCCCCAGGUUGCUGGGCCAGGCAGGGCAAGCAACCCACCCCUACAGUGGGGCUACUGCCCUCCACGCCCCGCAGCCUUGCCUCCUGGGUGACAUCAAUGCCGAGCCCUAGCACUAGAGUUAGAAUGCCAGGGUUCUAGUGUUUGCCCUUAUGCCAAUGUGGGGAUCGUAACCCUUCACAGGGUUCUGAGCCUUCAGUGAAGUGUUCCGUGCGAGGCCUUUGCAGCAGAGCCGAAGGCACUGGAAGCUGGCAGUAAAAGUUAGCUGUCAUGAUCUGGUUUCCCAGAUUUACAGCUCUCUCCUGGUUCUCCCACCUGCACCUGUUCGAAGCUCUCAGAUUCCUUGUCCUCCGUUUCUCAUCCCACUCCGCCCCAUUCUCAGCAGAUCAUCUCCCCUACUCACUUCCCAGGAAUCAACAGAAACCAGCCUGUGGGAAUUCUCCAACUUCCCACCAUCUCUCUCCUACCAACUCACUGCCAUCCUUUCCCCAGUCCUGGGAAGGACGAAGCACCUGUCCUCCUGUUCCAGGCUCACCGUGCCAUGGGCUCUGGCUCCCACACUCUCUCCCAUGGCCUUCACAUCCCAGGUCAGUCAGAUCUGUGCCUCGACCCCCCAGUCCCACGGGGUGCUGCCCCGUACCAAUAGCCUUUUAUACCCAAACUUCCCCAAAAUGUUCUUGUAAAGUCCCUACUCAUUCCUGGAUCCAACACAGUCUCACCUCAGCCCCGAGAUUCCGUAGAAAUUAGUUUCAUCCAGAUCAUUACUGACCCCCUUAUUGCUGAAGCAGGUUUACAUUUGUAUUCUUUAUCUUGUUUAAUUGCUUGGGAAUUGCAUGCCUCUUAAAUGUGGGUGUUUUCAAGGUCUAAUUUUGAGCCUCCUUUGUUUUCACUUUUAGGCCCUCUCCCUGGGUGACCUGAUUUAUUCUGUUGGCAUGAGUUGUGUUCUGUGUUCUGAUGUCUCUUGAAGCUGUAUUCCUGGGCUGGGCACCACUGCAGAGGUUCAGACCCUCGUAUCCAACUGUCUAUUAUACCUCCUGGCAUGUCUGUCCCCACGUAUCUUAAAAACUGAGAUCCCCCUGGCUUCCGACCGCCAUGCCCUUUCCUGCUCCACUCCCUGUCUUGGUGAAUGGCUCUUCCAAACACCUGGUGGCUCAAGUCAGAAGUCCUGAAGGCAAGAGGAUGGGAGGAGUAUGUGGGGAGAGGCGAUGUGAACCCCUCUGCACUCACGCCAUCCCAAGGGAUUUGGGGAGAGGCUGUGAAAUCAACCGAUUUUAUAAAAGAUGGUUUUAUCUAUCCCCUUAUCUCCUACACACAGAUGAUGCAACCUCCUCACCACCACUCCCAUCAGUCCCUCCUCUCAUCCUCACUGAUGCUACUUUCAUCCAGGCGGCUGUCACCUGUCACUGGGGCUACUGCAGCAACCUUCACCCUGGCCUUGCUGACCUCCUCUAGGAUAGUCUUUACACCGCAACCACAGCGACUCUGCUGAAGCACAGAUCUGUCGAUUCACUUCUUUGCCUGAAACCUUCCAUGGUUCUCCAGCACCCCUGGGAUAAAGUCUAGACUCCCAUGGUCCGUUCCCACCUGGCUGCUGACUGCCCUCUCUCAGCGUUGCGUCCUACACUGCCGCUCAGCCCUGCUCGAUUCUCUCGGUUCUUGUAGGGAGUCUUUGGAGUGAUGUUCUCGCCACUUGGAAGGCUCGUCCUCCCUCAUUUUUCUGGAUGCAGCCCGGUGACAAGAGAGCUGCUGCCACGAUGGCCACCAGGACUGAACAGCACCUAUCCUGGAAGUGUGUGCACGGGAUGUUUCAUCAAUGCUGAAUGAACAAACGCAUCUCCCAUUCAAGUGGAGGUCCAAAAGAAAGGCCUGAGAGACAGAUUUUUCUUCCCUCCUAAGUUACAGUUUGUGGUAACCUGAAGUCUCAGAAGAAAGUUCAAGACCUUCCUCGGUCACCAGCUGGGGUGCCUUAUGGGGAGCAAAGGCUACUCUCAGUGAGAGCCACAGCCAGUCCAGCAGCCGGGAGCCCCACCUGGAGCUGCCCUGUGUUUGUGAUAUCAAAGGCCCCCCAGCCUGAGCAUCCAAGAAGCUGAGCAUGGCCUCCCGGUUGUACAUGCCCGUGGACCGCUUCUCCGUCUGGUUUCUCUGCCGCAGCCCCACGGGGGUGCUCCCGUCCGGGUCCGCCACGUCCAGCUCCU